rnacentral:RNase_P_RNA from 1 species
AGAGUCGGCCGGACGGUUGCCGCCCACAUCGUGGGGGGAGGAAAGUCCGGGCUCCAUAGGGCAGGGUGCCAGGUAACGCCUGGGCGGCGCAAGCCGACGACAAGUGCAGCAGAGAGUAGACCGCCGAUGGCCCGUGUUAAAGCGGUGCACAGGUAAGGGUGAAAGGGUGCGGUAAGAGCGCACCGCGCGUCUGGCAACAGUUCGUGGCACGGUAAACUCCACCCGGAGCAAGACCAAAUAGGCCCCCGUUAAGUGUGGCCCGCGCAGGGGGCGGGUAGGUUGCUUGAGCCAGUGAGCGAUUGCUGGCCUAGACGAAUGACCGUUCAAGACAGAACCCGGCUUACAGGCUGGCUCUGCGG